UUCGGGUUGUCAUGCCAAUGGCACUGCCCGGUAGCUACGUUCGGAACUGAUAAGCGCUGAAAGCAUCUAAGCGCGAAGCAGGCCUCGAGAUGAGUUCUCACUAGACUUUUAAAGUCUCUGAAGGGCCGUUGAAGACUACAACGUUGAUAGGCAGGGUGUGGAAGUGGUGCGAGCCAUUAAGCUAACCUGUACUAAUUACCC
rnacentral:rRNA from 1 species